UACGGAGGGGGCUAGCGUUGUUCGGAAUUACUGGGCGUAAAGCGCACGUAGGCGGCUUUGCAAGUCAGAGGUGAAAGCCCGGGGCUCAACCCCGGAAUUGCCUUUGAGACUGCAUCGCUAGAACGUCGGAGAGGUGAGUGGAAUCCGAGUGUAGAGGUGAAAUCGUAGAUAUUCGGAAGAACACCAGUGGCGAAGGCGACUCACUGGACGACUGUUGACGCUGAGGUGCGAAAGCGUGGGGAGCA
rnacentral:rRNA from 1 species